rnacentral:rRNA from 1 species
AUAACACUUCACUCUGAUGUGAGAUUGACUUUUGCCAUCAAACUUCAUAUGGUAACCCACAUGCCUUGUGAUAAGCACUACCCAUAAAAUCUAGUUAAAUACUAAUUAACAUGGGUAAAUGCUAAGGUUCUCUACAACCUUAACAGUCACCACAACACCAAUGAAUUAUAUUGUGUAAGCUAGGUAACUAGGCCACAAGUAUAGCAAACCAAAGUGACCAAAGUAGGUGCCAGCAGUCGCGGUUAAACCUCACCUUACAGUUAAUCUACUCACGCCUAAGAGCAUCCCUCACAAUUGACCACAAUCUGAGAAAAGAAAAAGUAAAAUUUAACUAAACCAAGUACACCCCAAAAAGUCUUUCCAAUGCUCUAACAAACCACAACUACAAGACAUGGAUUAGAUACCCAUUUAUUGAGUGGCCCAACACAACAAACUCUAAAAACGAAAGUUUCAAAAUUAAAUAGUGUGGCGGUAUUCUACACCUUACCAGGGGAUCCUGUGGCUUAAUUCGAUAAUCCACGAACACCAAAGCUUUGCUAGUACCCAGCUUAUGUAUGGCCGUUUUAAGUCUGCAUAUUAAUAGAAUAAAAGGAGGCAAUUAGGGUAAACCCUACCAUCACAGGUGACAUAUAGCCAACACAAAGCAGCCCAUGGGAUACAAAUGACCCAACCAUCAGAAAAAGGUUAAAAAACCUUCACCAAGGAGGACUUGAAAGUAAGGCCACAACAUUAUUGUAGCCUGAAUAAGAACUAGAAUGCGUACAAAUCGCCCGUCACUCCCGACGACAUAAAGCCGGGAUAAGUCGUAACACAGUAGGGGUAACGGAAGCUGUCCCUAGACACU